CAGUCGCCGCGGUAAUACGGAGGGAGCUAGCGUUGUUCGGAAUUACUGGGCGUAAAGCGCACGUAGGCGGCUUUGUAAGUCAGAGGUGAAAGCCUGGAGCUCAACUCCAGAACUGCCUUUGAGACUGCAUCGCUUGAAUCCAGGAGAGGUGAGUGGAAUUCCGAGUGUAGAGGUGAAAUUCGUAGAUAUUCGGAAGAACACCAGUGGCGAAGGCGGCUCACUGGACUGGUUUUGACGCUGAGGUGCGAAAGCGUGGGGAGCAAACAGGAUUAGAUACCCGUGUAGUCCCUGUCUCUUAUAC
rnacentral:rRNA from 1 species